GUGGCAAUAGUGUAAUGAGAGCAUACGUGUCUGUGAAACACGUGGAUAGGGAUUGAAACCCGUUGUCACA
rnacentral:tRNA from 1 species